rnacentral:rRNA from 1 species
CGGUAACGUUAGGCGGUGUGGUAAGUUAGGCAUGACAAGUCGAGCGACGAAAGUCCGCAAGGAUGAGUAAAGCGGCGAACGGGUGAGUAAUACGUAAUCAACCUACCCCCGAGAUCGGAAUAACCAUUGGAAACGAUGGCUAAUACCGGAUGGUCCACUGGGCAGCAUUGCCUGGCUGGUAAACGGCGGCCGCAAGGCGGUUGCUGAGGGAGCGGGUUGCGGCCUAUCAGCUUGUUGGUGAGGUAACGGCUCACCAAGGCUAUGACGGGUAACAGGUCUGAGAGGAUGAUCUGUCACACUGGGACUGAGACACUGCCCAGACUCCUACGGGAGGCUGCAGUCGAGAAUCUUCCACAAUGGGCGAAAGCCUGAUGGAGCGACACCGCGUGCAGGAUGAAGGCCUUCGGGUUGUAAACUGCUGUCACGCUAUAGGAACCGACUUGGGUGAAUAGUCCAAGUUCUGACUAAAGCGAAAGGAAGCGCCGGCUAACUCUGUG